GAUGAAGACGCAGCGAAAUGCGAUAAGUAAUGUGAAUUGCAGAAUUCAGUGAAUCAUCGAAUCUUUGAACGCACAUUGCGCCCGCCAGUAUUCUGGCGGGCAUGCCUGUCCGAGCGUCAUUUCAACCAUCAAGCCCCCGGGCUUGUGUUGGGGACCUGCGGCUGCCCGCAGGCCCUGAAAACCAGUGGCGGGCUCGCUGUCACACCGAGCGUAGUAGCAAUCACCUCGCUCAGGGCGUGCUGCGGGUUCCGGCCGUUAAACAGCCUUACAAAACCCAAGGUUGACCUCGGAUCAGGUAGGAAGACCCGCUGAACUUAAGCAUAUCAAUAAGCGGAGGA
rnacentral:misc_RNA from 1 species